rnacentral:miRNA from 1 species
AGAGAUGUCUGGCUUGCAACA